rnacentral:rRNA from 1 species
UGUAAUCACGUUCUAACCUUUUGACCGCCAACUAGAAUGUCAUAAGCACGCUUUCGACACCCGAGCGACUUUCAGAGGUCAGACGGAUAGCCCAAAGGGUAUUCGUUGCAAUCCUCGAUCCCAAUCGUCACAUCUACCAAAGGCUAUAACACUCCGAUACGAGAUCGAAGCCACAUUCCUCCGAUCAUUUUAUGACGAUCAAAAUCGAUGUUGACCUACCAUACGAAAAAGUACACCCUAAAAGUACCAUAACGCAAAGCAACGAAGGCCGCGAAGCUCAACGGUUACC